CCAUACCCCCUGUUUAUAGCCUCCACAUUGACUCUGUACCGGUACCCCCUGUAUAUAGCCUCCACAUUGACUCUGUACCCCCUGUAUAUAGCCUCCACAUUGACUCUGUACCGGUACCCCCUGUAUAUAGCCUCCACAUUGACUCUGUUCCGGUACCCCCUGUAUAUAGCCUCCACAUUGACUCUGUACCGGUACCCCCUGUAUAUAGCCCCGCUAUUGUUAUUCUCUGCUGGUCUUUAAUUAUUUGUUUUUCUUAAUGACAUUUUUUGGGUAUUUUCUUAAAACUGCAUUGUUGGUUAAGGGCUUGUAAGUAAGCAUUUCACUGUAAGGUUGGGGGUACCUGUUGUAUUCGGCGCCUGUGACAAAUACAAUUUGAUUUGAUUUGGUUCGAUUCCAGGCUGUAUCACAACCGGCCGUGAUUGGGAGUCCUAUAGGGCGGCGCACAAUUGGCCCAGCAUCGUCCGGGUUAGGGUUUGGCCAGGGUAGGCCGUCAUUGUAAAUACGAAUUUGUUCUUAACUGACUUGCCGAGUUAAACAAAAAAAUUGACAUUGGCAUAUCCACUUUAGCUAAUCAUGACUACCCCCUGUGCUUAACCAUUCUAAAAUGAUGAGGCUGAGGAGAGAAAUAAAAGAAUAAGGGUAAAGCAGUGUGAAACUUAAUUUAUAUCGAGAGAGUGAGAGUUCUUUAUUUAAGCAGCCCAGUGAUUAGCAUGGGUGUAGAUUGUGCAAAAUGUGACUGGGGGGAGGAACAGGUUCAUGAAGUGACUUGGUUUCUUAUUCACUGACUAGGUAUUGUAUGCCCUCAUGAAAAGACACUAAGACCAACACACUAGUUUUAGCUAGGUGGGUGGUGUGGUAAGGGGUGGGUGGUGUGGUAAGAGGUGGUGGUGGUAGUGUGGUAAGAGGUGGUGGGUGGGUGGUGUGGUAAGAGGUGGUGUGGGUGGGUGGUAUGGUAAGAGGUGGGGGGGUGGGUGGAGUGGUAAGAGGUGGGGGUGGGUGGUGUGGUAAGAGGUGGUGGUGGUAGUGUGGUAAGAGGUGGUGUGGGUGGGUG
ensembl:lncRNA